CUGGGGGAUGAUUUAAUCACCAAUGGCCGAUGAUUUAAUCAACCAUGCCUAUGUGAUGAAGCCUCCAGAAAAAAAGCCUAACCAAAGGGGUUCAGAAAGCUUCUGGGUUGCUGAACACCUCUAGGUGCUGGGAAGGGGAUGCUCCCAGAGAGCAUGAGGGAGCUCUGUGCCCCUUUCCACAUACCUUGCCUAGGCCUUUCUUCCAUCUGGUUGUUCCUGUGUUGUAUCCUUUAUAACAAACCUGUAAUCUAUUCUAAUGAGUGAAAACAUAUGACCUCGAGGGAUUGGACAGAGGACAGCUAAAUUUUGACUGUAUAGAAGUGGAGAGGUCAGAAAGAACGGGACAUUGCUUUGAGGGAAGAGACAGUAGAAGACACUUCAGCAAGGCUUCAAAUGGACUGGUGAUAUUGGUGAUAUUUUAACUUUUGACAGAUACUGAUAUCUACCUCUAGGAAAAUAGUGGUCCCGAUUUACAGAGGAAAAGACCAGUGAUAAUUUUCUUUCUGCCAUUUUACCCUCCUAUGGUAGUCUACUGUCUUGACAUCUCUUGAUUCAAAAAGUUGGCAUCAUGGAAGAAGCUAAAAUUUCAUCUUUGGUUACAAUGCCUAAAUAAAAAGUGGGAAACUAUGAAUGGUUAAACCAAGUCACCGAAGAAAGAUUCUUUCAAAGAGGAUUCUUUUGUUGAUGAAAAACAGAUCUUUACUCAUGGUGGCUUCAAUCCUUCUGUGUUUAGUAAUUUAUAAUUGUAAGAAGAUUGGUAGUGAUUUUCCAGACACAUAGGGCGCUGUUGGUAAAAAUGGAGAGGUGGGGUUAGGUUUGAGGUCUGUUAGGAAACAGAAAUUUGUGACUCACUGAAGAAACUGAACAACAGCAACAUAGUGUUGAAAGUACCCAAUGUGAGAUAUAAGAUCAAAGGUGCUAACCCCUCCAGGCUGAACAGAGCCUCCCCUCACCACAAAAUGUUCAAUAGUGUUCUAGAUUGUUUGGUUUUGAUUUUAAUAUCCUAAUGAAGGCCUAAUGAAACAAGAAUACCUCUACUUCAUCACUUUGGGUCUCAUUAUACGGUGAAGACUCUCCAGUUGUCCGAAUGUGUGAAAUCAAAUAUUACCACCUGACACCAGCUAUUGUGAAAAGCUUUACAUAAAAUGAGAUGAAUAGCUCCU